GACGAACGCUGGCGGCGUGCUUAACACAUGCAAGUCUUACGAGAAAAGGGUAGCAAUAUCCUGAGUAAAGUGGCGCACGGGUGAGUAACACGUAGGCAAUCUGCCUUUAGGACGGGAACAACUCAGCGAAAGUUGAGCUAAUACCCGAUAAUGCAGCGGCUCCGCAUGGAGACAGUUGUUAAAUCCCGCAAGGGGCCUAUUGAUGAGCCUGCAUCUGAUAGCUAGUUGGUGAGGUAACGGCUCACCAAGGCUACGAUCAGUAGCUGGUCUGGAGAGGAUGAUCAGCCACACUGGAACUGAGACACGGUCCAGACUCCUACGGGAGGCAGCAGUGAGGAAUAUUGCGCAAUGGCCGAAAGGCUGACGCAGCGACGCCGCGUAG
rnacentral:rRNA from 1 species